UCUUCGUCCGUGCUCACGGCUUCAUCGCGGCGUCAACCCACCACCGCCGAUCGGGAGUACAAACUCUCAGUCUCAGGUUAUUUUCUUCCAAUCCCCAUUUUCUUCCAAUCCCCUCCCAUCGUAGAACCAACCACACGUUUCAGCGCCGCCGCUACCGCCUGCCACCAGCGCAGCCGUUGCCGCGCUGCCCCACAUCGUCGCUAUGCCGCCGCCCGCCCCGCGCUGCCCCACGCCGGGAAUGGCCGCCGGGUAUUGUCGGGGAUGGCCGCCGCCCUGCCCUCCAGUCCGUUGCCGCGCUGCCACGCGCGGCCCCACGCUGCCACCCUUCGAGACGCAGGUAUUGUACACAAUCGAAUGCGUCUGGGGAUCAGGCCUGCUGAGGAUGGUGCCGCGCCGCUCUUGGACACAUUCUUUUUUUUUUUUUGAGUCGAAGCUCUUGGACACAAUCGAUCGCCUCGCGGUAGAUACUGGUACGUGCGCUAAUGGCCGGAGAUUAGCACUAAUAAUUAGCCCAUGAUCAAUUGAUUUAGAUGUGGACAAACAAACUAAAGCCCUGUAGCCCAUCUCUCCAUGCAUAGGGCCUUAAUUUUCCUGGAAUUAGCAGAUCGAUCGUGUCUUGUUGGGUUGAUUGAACCGUGCCUCGCCUGGAAUUAGCAGGGCGUGAAAAGAUCAAAAGAACAAAUCCCAAGUUUUUAAUUUCGGAAGCAACCCAGAGACAAACGAAACGCUGAAUUUGCUGAAUCCAUGACUUGGUGGUUGACUGUGCAUUUGCUAGAAGGCUAUAACUUAGAUUGUUGUCACUAAUAUUCCAAGCUGCCCAUUCCGCAGCAUCGAAUUAGAUCAUAGAAUAGGAGACCAGAACCACAUAGCUAAAAUGACAUGUUUGCCUGUAAGCUCUCGCAGUGCAUACCUUGGGCCUUUAUAUUUUCUAUUCUGUAUCUCCUUCAUCUGCAAAUCUGACGCUGAAAUUGUUCCACGUCUUAAUUACAUUCUCUCUAGGCAUAAAAUUAAUCAAUAACAGUGACAAUUCAUUUUUGAGAUUACAAUAUUACAUUAGAAAAAUCUAUAAUACUGUGUGAAUGAUUACAUUAGAAAAAUCUAGGUUCUGACGAAGUGUGACCCUGGUUUGCUGCGGUCUCAUGACGGGAUCAGCUUUUGAUGUCGUGAGAUCUCGUUCGAUUUGGUUCCGGAAUUCGGGCAGGAAAUUGUUCGGGCUAGUUCAUUCUCUUCUCCUUUGUAAGAUUUGUCGUGUAGGUCUGUGCUGCAUGAGGUUAAUUUGUUGCGGUACAUACAUGCCUUGGAAGUCUUCCGGUGGGUGUGGUUUGCCAUAAGUGGGUGGACGUUAUCCGCUUGGUCAAGUUCAGGAGCCAGAUGCAGUUAUGUAUCAUAUCCAUUUGGGACGAAUUUGAUGUAAUUCUCCAGUUUUAACUCUAGGAGAUUGUGCAACUUGCAACCUGCAGAUCAAAUUAAACUGUAUUCAAUCGCUUAGCUGAGGAGUUGAAUUUGUGUAAGUUUCUACUAGAGGAUAGGUCUUAUACACUUCAUGCUUUGAACAUAAGGUACUCUCACAAGUAAAUCCAGUCUGACUAGUUGUACUGACUCCUUUUCCAAGUUGGUGAAUCAUUGUAUUAGAUGCUCAACAUGGAUUCUAACUUUAAUCCUUUGCUGAUUGGACAUUGUACUCUCAAUGCUUUUACUGAAUCUAGUCUCAACAUGUAUGUGGUUUAUUCUCAUCUGAACUGAAAUAAUGUUCAUCUGAACUGAAGCAUGUUCAGUAUUCAUCUAAUAUAUGUUUUUGUACAUUGUGAGUUUGUGAUCUUUUAUAAUUCCAACAUGACACUAUCCAGCUGCUUGUGCUUGCCUUCACAAAUGACAAUUCAAUGUGUGAUAAUAACUAUGUGACGACAGACUUCUCUUAUUUAUAAGAUGCUUUCAAAUUCUUGUAUAAUGGUAUCAGGCAUGAUGACCUGCUGUCCAAAUACUCUGUAAAAUCUGCAUGUGCCUGCAAUCAUACUAUGGAACUCUAAAUAGUUUUGUCAUCUAUUUGACUAAAGCAAUGUUAGGAUGCCUUAAGUAACCUGAUAAUUUUCUCCUUUGGUUAGGCCAUAGAUGCACACGGAAUACUUCCAGUAGGUGAUUCAUGCUUUGGACUUGUGCCUUUUCUAUAUGUAAUGCUACCUCUUCAAGGUAGUUUGGCUUGAACAGAACUAGUUAGUAAGAGAACCACAUGUAGGUGCUAAGAUAAGGUUUCUGAAAAAUAUUUGACAGAUAUGUGCAUUACUCAGAAUCUGAGGUGUUAUGUUAUUUGUGGUACCUCUGGUGGAAACAAAAUGUGAUCCAUUCAGCUUGUCUAAUAUUAUGUUGGACAGGCAUACUAUCAUAGUCAUUCUUGCAUCCUUUUAUUCUAAAAACAAGACAUUCUAAAAUAUUGUUUCCAAGAUAUUGAAGUGCUAAAGUAUGCCUGCUUUACGUUUUGUGUUUUUUUUCUUCUGAAUAUGACUCAAUUUCUGAUCGUACCUACUCAAGGGCAUAAGGAUGAGUUCAAGGGUGGAUGCUUCUGUAAGGAAAGGCUCUGUUGUCUUAACAAGGACGGAAAGUAUAACCGAAUACAUAAACAAUGGUGGACAACCCAGAUCUGGUACUCAAGGACAAUCUGACACUCCAGUGUCAGCUAAUGACAUGUGUGUCCUGGAUGAAUGGCCAUCCCAUGCUCGCCGCUACCGUGCGCAACUACAGCAUUGUACUUUCUCUCCUUCAAAUCUGGGUCCUCCGAUCUGACACAAUCUAAUUACCAAGUCAUGCAAUACUUUUUUCUAUGAUUUGGGAUGUAGAAGCAGAUGGACAGAAGAAGAAGAAAGGGCGAGGUGUUGUAAAAGGUGUUAAAGCAGCUCAGAAGCGUUUUGUCAGUGGAUCUGCGAAGCUAAAAAUUUGUUGAAAUAGAGUAUCGCCACAAAACCUUCAAAUUGUGGCGGUAACUUCUUGCUACAAAUAUUUUGGAUGCUGCAAAAAGUAUGUAACGCCACAAUUGUGAAUUUUGUUGAAACAGAGUAUCUCCACGAAAAGUUCGCAUUGUC